AGUGCACUGCGACCUGGAACAUCCAUAUAUUCAGAGAUUCUUCUUGUUAUUCAUUGUGCGCCAAACCUUUCCUCAGGCCUACUGCGAGCUGGCCGUGGAGGAGCCAGAGGAAUCUAUUCUCGCUUGCUCGUAGUAGAAAAAAAUUUGUCGAUUGGUCCAUCACAAUCCAAUAAUGCAGGAGUGCUCUCUCGUUUCAGGGAAGGGGGCGCAGGAUCCCUGCAACUAGUCUGGGGAGAGAAGUCAAGAAAAGAUGGCUCAGGCCGAGGAGUUUGCAUAGAGAAAAGGGGAAAGCAAAUGGAAAUUACUAUGUGGCCGUGUGAUGGGCGGAGGGGGGCAGGUGGCGAGUGGUUGGGCGUCUGAAGGGCUGACUAGCUGGAAGACCUUGGAAAAGCCAAGUUGUUUAAAAUUUUGGAUACAGUAACGUUAUUUCAAGGGAUCCAAGAAAUACCUCCUGGAUUCUUUCUGUAUCAUAAUGGUAAUGUAUACAAAUACCAGGUCUGUCUUCUGCAAUAUACCUCUCGAACUUUCCAUCCAACGCCCAUAUUUUGCUGGAAGGCUUCAGGUAAGAUCAGAUUUGCGUUUUAGAGAAUGCCCUCUGCUGGCUGCCAGGAGAGUGAGUUGGAGGGAGGGAGAGCAGUGAGGGAAGUUGACUCUGUACCUCAGGUGAGAGUGGCAUGAUGGGGUAGAUAUAGUAGGUUUUUAAAAAUAAAUGUUAUUUUAGAAGCUUUGAUUUACAGAAUUAUUGUGAAGAUAAUACAGAGAAUACUCUAUAUCCCAUAGUCAGUUUCCCCUAUUAACAUUACAUUAGUUUUCCUUAUUAACAUCUUAAAUUACAUCAUGUUACUCAGAUUUCCUUAGUUUUUACCUAAUGCCCUUUUCUGUUCCAGGAUGCCAUCCAGAAUACCACAAUACAUUUAGUUGUCAUGUCUCCAUGGGCUCCUCUUGGCUAUGACUUGUUCCUCAGAGUUGCCUUGUUUUUGAUGACCCAGAGUCAUUAACAUUUGAGGAGUACAGGUCAGGUAUUUUGUAGAAUGUCCCUCAACUGGGAUUUGUCUGAUGUUUUUCUCAUGAAUAGACUGGAAUUAUGGGUUUAGAAAAGGAAAAUCACAAAAAGAGUGUUCUCCAGGGAGGGCUGUUCCAGAAGGUCUUUAAGUCACAUCCAACUCCAAAAUACAGUCUUUGCUGAACCAGAGAAGAUGGACCCCAUUUUCUAGGCCCCUAAACAGAAACCAGAAGACCAGGAAGAUGAGUCUGACUCAGGGCCUGUUCCCAUGCUGAAAUUACUUGUCUCUGUAUCCUUCACAGCCUACUAUACUCCUCUGCAGCAGAAGGCCCUGAUCCUGGGGGUGAGUAUCCCAGGAUCUCCUGGAGCCAGACCUUUAAAAUGCCAUCCUCUUCGGUGAACAAAAGCAGAUUGGCAGGGACAAAACUAGAUUCAGGAAUAUCCUUUCUUCUUCAUGGCCAAAAGGGAUGGCACUGGCUCUCUCAGAUGGCAUCAUAAUGUGGUGGAAGUGUGGAAGAUGGUUGGGAGUAAUCCUAUUGUUCAUUCAUUAAACACUUAUUGAGCACCUACUGUGUGCCUGAUACUAAACUGGGUGAUAGGGAUACAACAAGGAGACACGAUAAGCCAAGUCUUUGUCUUCCUGGAGCCCAGAGUUUAAGACAAGUGUUCUUAACAAUUUUUUGUGCCAUGGACAUUGUGGGUGAUCUGGUGAAGCCUUUGGACUUUUCCUUGGAAAACGAUUGUCUUUUAAAUGCAUAAAGUAAAAUACCUAAAGUUACAAAAGAAACUGAUGAUAUUGAAAUAUUGUUCUUAAAAUAUGGAAAAAGCAAAUAUGUGCUAUAGUAAUAUAUGUGCUUCUUGUUAAUCCAUUAAAUCAUGAGAUCUAAUGGAGGGUCUAAUGACAUCAUGAUUUUAAAAUACAGGAGAUUACAUGAUAUUUGGAGAGAUAUGCAACAUUUAUAAUAUGAUAUGGAAAUCGCUGUGACUUCUAUUGGUGACAGAAUCACAGAUACUACUACAACUAUAAUUAGUUACAUUCUUUACUGGAAAAAUGCUAAAUUUCAAUUAGAGGAGAGUGAAAAUAAAGAUGUAAACUUUUUCCUCCAAAUUCACGGGCCCCUCCCAGACUGGAUUGGAGGUCUGUGAAUCCAAAUUAAGAGCCCCUGGUAGUAGGAAUGUCCUUCCUAGCUUUCCUUCCUUCAUUAAACCACUUUCACCUGGAGGACAAAAGCCUGGGUUUUAGUCUGGGUGUUAUGCUGGUUACUGCUGUGUGACCUCAAACCAAUUAGUUUGCCUUUCUGGGCCAUAGUUACCUCGAUCUGAACAAUGGGAAAGGCAAGAAUUGGGAGAGGAGACUAUUUAUGCUCUGGACAAUUAAUUUAUAUUCUCUCAUUUAACCCUAACAACGACAGUUAGGGAAGAUUUUUAAAUAAUCUUCCUGUUUCACAGAUGGCUAAACUGAGGCUUCUAGCGAGAGUCAGUAAGUAGUAAGGGCUGAUGGUGACUGGCCAGAACCCCACAACCAUCCUCCAUGGGUGAAAUAAGGAGCUAUGCUCACUUUGGGAGAAACCGGCUCAGAAUUCCCUGCAUGUGGGGGUAAAGCUAAAGGAAAUUGGGGGCAGAGUCGUUUCUCUUAGCAGGGUAGGUGACGCAAGGUGGCUUACCCCACAAGGUGGCUUAUGCACAGUAAGAUGUCAAGAUGCUCCCACUGUUCAGUGACUUGUACAAGGCCUCACUUUGAGCUUCGUGCGUGCGUGUUCCCAACUAACCUCCCGAAGCCCUGUCAAAUAGCUUGGCAAAGGACAAUGACAAGUCCUCCUCUCCUGGCCAAUCCUAUUAAAGAGUGAGCUUGGCCUGUAAACCAAUCAAAGACACCCCCAAAGGGGCGGAGUUUUCUUCCGUCCGGAUCCCCGCCUGCGCAGAAAAAAUAGUGUUUCCGUCUCCAGCCAAUCCCAGGGAAGGCAGGAGAGCACUCCUCCAAAGGGAACCCGGGAGCUGUCAGUAGCGCUGGAGGCCUGCGACCCCGCUCGCACUAGAACCGACAAGAGUGACGCGGCCUGUUUGCACGAGAUCCAGCUGCCGGCCCCUCGAAUCUUCAAGCGCGCGAUAGCGGCGGCGCCCACGGUCGGAGGUGUCAGGUCUGCAGGCUGCGGAGGAUCCUGCGGGUAGCAAAGUGAGGGCACAAAGUGAGGGCGAGUUCCUCUGCGAACCCAGCCGACAACUAGAAUAUGCAUCACUGUUAGAACCAUCACCCUGCAGCUAGCUUGGACACCAUUAAAAGGGCUCAUCAGCUGCGGAUGGAUAGAAAUUUCUGAUACUUGUGAAGACAGAGAUUCAGGGCUUCUACCUGGAGCUACACCCUCCAGAAGCCCCUACUUGGCCCCUGCACACCCAGCCAAUUACAACGUGGGCAGUGUGUGGUGAUUCUUGGCAACUGGAACACAGACUUCUCCAGCAGCUUCACAGGUCCCUUGUCCUCAGUGAGCCGAAGACCACAGAAGCUGGCUACUGAAGAUGCUCUCCAAGUGAUAGAGCUCCUCCUUGGCUCUGCUUAUUAGCACAUUUACCACAGAGCAGUAACUGAGUGCUGGCUGUUACCCAUUCUUGCUUACUACCUGCAGGAGCUACAGAGGGAUUUGUCAGACCCCAUUUUACUAAGGGCCACACUCUAAAGAUCUCCACAGGAGACUGCCCAUAGAAGGGUGGCCUGCCUUAGGAUCUCUACUGCCUUAGGUCAUAUGUGGACACCAAUAGGGCCCAGAGGAUCAAUAUCUCUUCCCCUACCUGUAAUCCACAUAUUAAGUAGAAAAUUUUGUCUCCUGCCAUUUUUUGUGCUUUGUUUGUUUGGUAGGAAGAGUUUUAACUACUGCUUCAAUUCUUUUAGUAGUUAGAGGACUGUUCAUGAUUUCUUUUUCUUCUUUAGUCAAUUUUGGUAAGUUAUAGUUUUCUAGGAAUUGGUCCAUUCUCUCUGUGUUCUCAAAUUUAUUGGCAUAAAGUUUCCUUAUUUUUUAAUUCUCUGCUGUAUAUAACCUGUAGUUAUGUCUCCUUUUUCAUUGCUAAUAUUGGUUAUUUGUGCCUUCUCACUUUUUUUCUUGAUCAAUCUCACCAGAGGUUUGUCUAUUUUAUUAGUCCUUUCAAAGAAUCAACUUUUGGCUUUGUUGCUCCUCUCUAUUGUGUCUUUGUUUUCUAUUUCUUUAAUUUCUGCUCUUAUCUUUUUUGAUCUCUUUCCUUCUACAUUUUUUGGAUUUAUUCUGUUGUUCUUUUUCUAAUUUCUUAAAUUGGACACUGAGCUCAUUAAUUUUCAGCCUCUCUUGUUUUCUAAUUUGUGCAAUUAAGGAUAUAAAUUUCCCUCUAAAUACUGCUUUUCUUCAAGUUUAGACAUGUCAUAUUUCAUUAUACUUUGGUUCCAAGUACUUCAACAUUUCCAUAAUGGUUACUUAUUUAAUCUGUGAGUUAUGUAGAAGUGUGCUUUUAAAUUUCUAAUUGUUUGAGUUUUUAAAAUUUAUCUCUUUGUUAUUGAAAUCAAUUUUAAUUGCUUUAUGGUCAGAAGAUGUGUGUGUGAUAAUAGCUCUUUAAAAUUUAUUGAGACUUGCUUAGUACAUGAUCAAUAUUUUUUAAUGUGUCCUACAUGCUUUAUAAGAAUGUAUGUUUUCUAAUUGUUGAAUGCAGAGAUAAGUCUAUUAUCAAGUUUGUUAAUUGUAUUGUUCAAGUUUUCUAUAUCUAUACUGAUUUUUUGGUCAUGAUAUACAAGUAAUUGUAAGUGGUAUGUUAAUAUUCAACUAUGAUGGUAGAUUUGUCUAUUUCUCCUUGUAGUUCUUUUUAUAAUUUUAUACAUUUUGAGGAUAUUUCAUUAGGAAUAUUCAAAUUAAUAAUUGUUAUGUAUUCCUAGUAAAUAUGUAAUGACCCUCUCUGUUCCUGGUAAUGCAUUUUUUCUUGAAGUCUAGUUUAUCUCAUAGUAAUAUAGCAGUGCAAGCUUUUCUUUUUGCUAGGAUUUGUGUGGUAAAUAAUUUUCCAUUGUUUUAUUUUACAACAUUUUCAUGCUCUUAUGUUUUAAUUAAAUUUCUUGAGAAGGGCAUAUAGCUGGACCUUUAUAUCUAAUCUGGUGAUCUGUGUCUUUUAAUGGGCAAGUCUCAUCUGUUUACAUUUGCUGUGAUAUUUGGACUUGUUUCUGUCAUCACAGUUUUAUUUCUAUUUCCUACCAACACCUUUUCUAUGAUUCAUUUUUCUCUUUUCUUGCCUACUUUUUUAGUUUUGAGAUUUGUUUGCUUUUUUAUUCAACAUUUUCCCUCCCUAGUAUUUGGAUGUACAUAUUCUUUUUCUAUUCUUUUUGUGGUUAUCCUUCAAAUUUUACCAUACAUAUUUAACUUAUAAGGUCUAAAGUUAAACAGAAUUUUAGCCUCUCUCUUGAAGAAUGCAGGAAACUUAAACUCUAGUCAUUCCUCUUUUGACCACAUGCUAUUGUUUUGAGUAUGUUAGUGUGUUCCUUUUUUUUUUCUAACCCCACUAUUCAUCAUCACUAGUAUUAUUUUAUAUAGACAGUAUUUGUAUGGAUUUACAUGCAUACAUUCUUACAUCUCAGACCAUCAUUCUGGGAUCAUUUUCCUUCAUUCUGAAUACAAUGUUCCAAUGCUCUUUGAGUACAUGUCUCUUGUUGUUAAAUUUAAAAUGUUAAAUCUUUGUUAUAUUUAAAUGUCUUUAUUUUAUCCUCAUUCUUAAAAGAUAAGUUUUUAUAGGUAUUUAAAAGUCUGCUGUCAGUCUAAUGUCUGUUUUUUGUAGGUGUUUUUGUUUUGGUAACUGGAACACAGACUUCUCCAGUAGCUUCAUUUUUCUCUUUUCUUGCCUGCUUUUUUAGUUUUGAGAUUUGUGUGUGUGUGUGAUAAUAGCUCUUUAAAAUUUAUUGAGACUUUCUGUCUGGCUACUUUUAAGAACUUUUUCCUCUUUCUCACUCCUUUUUUUUUUUAGAGAUAUGCAGAGGCUUCUCCAGUUUCAUUCUAAUAUUUUUGGGCAUGGAUUUCUUUUCUAUUUAUUCUACUUUGGAAAUGUCCUUCAUGCAUCUAUAUUCAUGUUUUUCAUAAGUUCUAGAAAAUUCUCAGCCAUUGUUUCUUCAAAUAGUGCCUUUCAUUCUUUCUAGAUUUUCUUUCUCAGAAUCCUGUUAGUCAUAUUUGGACCUCCUCAUUAUCUCUUUCAUCUCAUAACAUCUCAUUGACAUUUUCUAUCUCUUUGUUUUCCUCUGCUUCAUUCUGGAUAAUUUCUUCAAACGUAUCUUUCAGCUUACUGAUUCUCUCUUCAGCUAAGUCUGAUUUGCUGUUUAAUCUGUCCACUGAAUUUUUUUUCAACAGUUGGAUUUUCAUUUGUCCAUUUCCCAGUCUGCCUAAUCCAUAGUAGUCUCUUGUUGCUAAUCUUUGUGGUUACGUAUAUUAUUUCUUUAAACAUUUUAUACAAUUUUUGUUCAACAAGUAAUUGCUGUUUGCACAAGUAUGACAUUAUGAAUAUUUUUCACACCUAAACCUCAUAGUAUACUCUGAUUAUAUAUUUUUUGUGUAACUUUUUGUUUUCCUAGUAAUUGUCUGGUUUUUCUUUCUAGGGUUACCAUUACUGAUUCUUCUCUGAAAUUCCCUUUAAAAUCCAUAUCAGAUAAUUUCCCUCCUCUCCUCAAAAUUCUGUCAUGGCCCCCAGCUUCCUCAGAAUAAAAGGCAAAGCUCUCACCAUGACCCAAAAGUCUCUACACAAUCUGGUCCCUCUCCCCUCUUUGACCUUGUCUCCUAUCACUCUCCCCAUCACUCACUCUUCUCCAGCCACACUGGCCUCCUUACUGUUCCUCAAACAUGUCAGGUACUCUCCAUCUUCAGAGCCUUUUGUACUUGCUCUUCUCACUACCUGGAACACUCUUCUUCCCAGAUAGUCUGAUGACUUGCCCACCCACUUCCAAUAUGCUCAAAUGCCACCUCCCUAGAGAAGCAUUCCCUGACCAGCAUAUCUGAACUAGUUCCAUUCACUAGCACUUUCUGUCCCCUUGUCCUACUUUAUGUUAUGUUUGUCUAAAAAGCACUGAUAACCACCUGACAUAUUUUAUAUUUAUCUAUUGUGAUUAGUGUUUGUAUCUCCUCAAUAGAUUGUAAACUCCACAAAGCAGGGACUGUUGUUCACUGUUGUAUCCCCAGUGCCAAGAAAAACAAUGCAUAGUAAUAUUUAGUAAACAAUAAAUAUUUGUGGAAUAAACUGAACAAAUGAAUGAAUGAAUGAUAGCGAAAUGCAUUGAGAAUUAGACUAGUCAUGAAGGCUUUUUCAUGCCAUGCUAAGGAGCUUGGAUGUCAUUGUUCAGAUGGGUGGGGCCUGUGAAGAAGCAGUGAGAAUAGUUUCUGGGUUCUUUUGAGAAGCAAGUUCACAGUUGGUAGGGUGGUGACACAGCUGCAUAUUCUCUCUGACUGUCUCUGUAUAUCCUGGGGCUCCUGAAGGUACACUUGCCUCUUUCUCAAACAACACUGUGUUGUAACCUCCCUGUUACUUGGUGUAGCUCUACCCUAGCUCUACCUGAGCCUUCUGAUCCUCGCUGGGAUUCCCUUUCUCCUGCCUUGUGUGGAACUGUUUCUUGGUCCCCAGACCAAGCAGAUCACCCCCAUUAGACUUUUUUCUGUGGUACAUGGUGGGGGUGCUGGUGGUACAGAAGUUGUACAGCCUGUCACACAGUGACUGAUAUUGUAGCAGUGGACACUAGGUAGGUAAGUUUCAACUCAAAAAUGCCUUCCAUUGUCAAGGCUGCAACAGAUUGUGAGAUCUGAGUCCUGACUUUUCCCCUAAGCCUUUUGGGAGGAGCAUGGCUCCAGUGUUUCUGCAUUCCCAUGACUGUUUGGAUACUAAUUCUGUUGUCUAAUGCUUAACCUACUUGCCUAGUUGUUUGUCACCCACUAAUUUCAUUGGAAUGCCAUCAGUAUACAUAGGGCCCUGGAUAUGCUGCUGGAGAACUUUCUCUGGGCCAGCAUCAAUUCACAAAUCAUUAUCAGUGUAAUCCAACUAGAUAUAAGUUCAGUUUAGCAAAAUUGACUGACCACCUACUAUGUGUUGGAUCUCCUUCCCUGCACUAAGGACACAGAGAUGGAAAAAAUGUGUUCCCAGACACAGAACCAUAACUUCAGUGUGACCAGUGCACUAACAGUAAUGG